CCGGCGGAGAGCAGCCAUGGCGAUGGAGGGCUACGACCGGGAGUUCUGGCAGUUCGGCGACCAGCUGCGGCUCCAGACGGCCACCUUCUCCGGCCUCUCCCUCGGCGACUCCAUCUGGUCGUCCCCCGCCGACAACAACGCCCCCCGCUCCCGCAACGCCGACCCCGGCCUCUUCUCCCCCUCCCCGCCCGCCGCCCACAACAACGCCGCUUCCAAGCCCAACAACAGCCUCAACGGCCCGGGCCUCAUCGGGUCCGGCAAGCUCGCCUUCGGCGCCACCACCACCAGCAAGGCCGACCGCUACAACAACGUCAGCCUCCCCGACGCCAAGCCCUACGCCAACGCCAACGCCAACGCCGGCUACGGCGCCAAGCCCAACAACGCCAACAUCAACGGCAACACCUUCGGGCUCAGCAAGAUGGCCGCCAGCGGCGGGGCCGGCUACAGCAACUUCAACGGCGGCAACGAGGGGGUCAAGAGCUACUUCAACAAGUCCAUCGGCAGGCCGGCCAGCAACAACAGCAACAGCAGCAACUUCAACUUCAACGGCUACGGCGGCAAGAAGGGCGCCGCGGACGGCAAGAAGAAGCACGCCAAGAACGAGAGAGGGGACAACAACCACGGCGCCGCCUCGGAGAAGCGGUUCAAGACGCUGCCGGCGUCCGAGGCGCUGCCUAGGAACGAGCCCAUCGGCGGCUACAUCUUCGUCUGCAACAACGACACCAUGGAGGAGAACCUCAAGAGGCAGCUCUUCGGUAAAUACUACACUGCUAAGAUUUUUCUCUUUAAUCUCCCUUUCAAAGUCCAAUUAGAUUAGCCGUACCUAAUCCUAAGAUAGAAUCAAUCCAUAUGUAUAUAUUCAACUAAUUCGAUCAGAUCUAGUACGUGACGGACUGACGGUUUGGUUACUUUUAAUUUGCAGGGUUGCCAUCCAGAUACAGAGAUUCAGUGAGGGCGAUCAGGCCGGGGCUGCCCCUCUUCCUCUACAACUACUCCACCCACCAGCUCCACGGCAUCUUCGAGGUAAAAUCAAUCAGAACAAUCAAAUUAAUCUGCUCUCUUGCUUGCAGUUCGAUGACAAUUUAGUUAGCGUUGAAUUGAUUGAACUGAACUCAUCGCCUUAUACUGAAUCGCCUGCACAGGCCGCGAGCUUUGGCGGAGCAAACAUCGACCCGGCGGCGUGGGAGGACAAGAAGUGCAACGGCGAGUCCCGCUUCCCUGCACAGGUAGCUUCACCUUCACCUUCACAAGGAGUACUAAGUUGACAUCAAUAUAAUUCUAAGAACACAAGUUAGCUAGAGAUAUCUACUCUAGCUUGACCCGGAAGGAGAUCAGAUUGAUGACUAGUAAAAGCAAUCAAUCAACUAGUUUAUUGAUUAUUAUAAACGGAUGGAAGUUGUUGUCUUGUUUAGUUGGAACCUAGUAGAUUGUCGGCAUAACUUUUUGCUAGUGACUGUCCAACAACCUACAUUCAGAUUAGGUUGGCCGGUCAAUCCUAGGCCAACCACCUGUUCUUCUAGAACAAGUACACUUGUCAACACACGCUCGGUCCUUCUAGAGAUACUCAAACAAGAUCACUUUUUUUUAUCGACUCAAACAAGAUCACUUGAAGUACUAUUUGAAGUUAGUGAUGGUACUAAAAAAGAAACAUGCCUUAAAUUAACAACACCGAAUCUUAAUUCCACUGGUCUUUUUGCGUGUAAACUAAAUUAAGAAUGAACAAUCCUAACUAAUUAGCAGUAGCAAUUUACUUGAUCUCUAUUUAUGUAUGUCUUGCUGAUUUGCAACGAUUGAUGAAUUCAGGUGAGGGUGGCCACAAGGAAGAUCUGCGACCCACUGGAGGAGGACGCAUUCCGCCCUAUCCUGCACCACUACGACGGGCCCAAGUUCCGGCUCGAGCUCAGCAUCACCGAGGCUCUCUCCCUCCUUGAUAUAUUUGAAGACAAGGAUGAUGCAUGAUGAAGGCUGCUCAGUGCUGAUCAGGGGACUGUUGAGG
rnacentral:lncRNA from 1 species